AUUGAACGCUGGCGGCAGGCCUAACACAUGCAAGUCGAACGAGAGGCGGACUGGUGAAUAAUGUAUGGGGAUCUGCCUGACAGACGGAGAUAACUACUAGAAACGGUGGCUAAUACUGCAUACUACGCGUUGCACCGAUAUGGGAUGAGCUAGUCGGUGGGGGAAAGGCUAACCUAGGAGACGAUGUCUAGCUGGCCUGAGAGGAUGAUCAGCCACACUGGGACUGAGACACGGCCCAGACUCCUACGGGAGGCAGCAGUGGGGAAUCUUGCGCAAUGGACGCAAGCCUGAUGCAGCCAUGCCGCGUGUAUGAAGAAGGCCUUAGGGUUGUAAAGUACUUUCGGCGGGGAAGCGUUAUCCACACAAGAAGCACCGGCUAACUCCGUGCCAGCAGCCGCGGUAAUAC
rnacentral:rRNA from 1 species